ensembl:lncRNA
AUCUGGAGUCAAGUUCCCUGCAUUCAAAUCCUGACACUCUUGAAAACUUUGUGACAUUCAGACACUUACUCAACUUCGUUCUCAUGUUUAUGUGUGUGGAAACCCUAUCCUAGAAUUAAUUAUGAUGAUGAUACUUAUACCUGUGAAUUUACUAAAAACAUUGCAUUGGGCACUUCAAAUGGCCGAAUUGUAUGUUGUACUUCAGCUUCUGGAGAACAUGGACAGAUCAUGCAGGGUCAGUUUCAUUGAAGGAGCAACCUUUAUUCUUGACAGUCUCACUGCUCCUCCUGUACUUGACCUGCUAACUCCCACAGCUGUGCCCAUUCAUGGUUUCUGUCUUAACAUUUAUUGUUAAUACUCAACUUGUAAAUCUUAGUGCCCACGUUCUAAGAUUUUUUUUUUCUGUUCUAGUUGUCCCAACUCGACUAUAUUUUUCCUUUCUUGGUAAUGUGCCAGUCAUACAGUUACUUGAUUAAGAUACCUGACAGAUUUGCUCAAUAUCUCAGUCCUCAUGUACAGUUUGCUGAAGAGUGUGAAGGACGAAAUUGGAGUCUUCUUGUAACAUGAGUGUGGUCAGGGGAUUGAGGACCAUAGAUUCUAAUACAUACAGUAUCAAGUGUUAUGCUUACACAUUAAACUAGAAAUUUCAUGCUGAUUUACUUUUAUUGAUAUGCUUAGGCACCAUUUGAAGAGCUUAUAUUAGUGUUUUUCAUAUAUUAUAAAGUAUAAAGAAUAUAUUAUCAAAUCAUACUUGUUAUUUUCCAAAUUUUCAACUUUAGACUUUCAGCUAAAAAUAAGUUAUUAAAUUGGUUAGGAGAAAAAUAAUUCUGAUUUGGUUGUUUCAACAUUGGAAAGUUACUAAAAAUUAUUAAAUAGUUCCUUACCUGGUUGCAUAAAAUAAGAUUUUCUUGGUAGCUUAGGGAAAUAAUAAUGAAUGUAUAAUACUUUAAUUGGUUGAACCCAUACAUAUCAUUGCAUAGUUAUUUUCCCUUUGACUAAAUUUACCCUUUUUUAUUCAUUCAUUUAGUUAUUCAUUUAUUCAAUCAGUCAGUUCAUAGAGGGCUACUAAGCUUUGAAAAUGUGCAAAGCACUCUGAUACAUGUGAACAGAUCAUGGCCGCUGUGCCUGAGCUUGAGGGCUGAAUAAUUAGUGAAAGUAAUGUGCUAAAUUCUAAAAUAGAAUUUUGCAUUAAGUAUAAUAAAGACGGACCUGUCAUUUUCUCAGGCAUUCAGUAAGAUUCUAUAGUGCCAUUUCCAAAAAUGCAAGUUAGUUCAGUGUGGUUGUUUAUUCUGAUGUCAACUUGACUGGAUUGAGGGAUGCACAGAUAAGUAAUAGGGUAUCAUUUAUUCUCAAUUAUUGCGUUAGUUAUUCUCAAUGUUUCAGCAGGCAGCGAACCUAUUUAUCAUUCACUGAAAGGGAAAUUUUGGUGGUUUGGCAUUUGAUUAGAAGGAUUAAACUUCCCUGGGUGUGUCUGUGAAGGUAUUUCUGGAGGAGCUUUCAAUGUGAGCUUGUGCAUACAAUUGGAUGGGGACCUGGAUGGAACAAAAAAAAAAAAAAAAAAAGAAGGAAGAGUGAAUUAUUUAUUUUUUGCUGAUACAUAACAGUUGUACAAAUUUAUGCAGUACAUGCCACAUUUUAAUACAAGCAUACAAUAUGUAAUAAUCAAGUCAGGGUAAUGAAGGUAUCCAGCACCUCAAGUAUUAAUCAUUUCUUUGAGUUUGGAACAUUCUAAUUCCUCUAGUUAUUUUGAAAUAUAGAAUAAAUUGUUGCUGACUGUUGCCACCCUGUUAUGCUGCUAACUGUAUUUUCAUGCCUGUUAACAAUCUCUAUAUUGUCCCCACCUCCCACUACCCUUCUCAGGCUCUGGUAACCAUCUCUCUAGGAUCUGUCUCCAUGAGAUAGUUAUUAAGCUCCCACAAAUGAGCAAAAACAUGAUAAUUUGUCUUUCUGCACCUGGUUUAUUCCACUUAACAUAAUGUCCUCCAGUUCCUCAGUGUUGUUGCAAAUGACAGAUUUUCUUAAUUUUUAUGGCUGAAUACUAUUCCCUUGUGUGUAUGUACCACAUUGUCUUUAUCCAUUCAUCUAUUGAUCCCCUAUCUUGGCUUUUGUGAAUAGCAUUAAAAUAAACAUAGGCAUGCAGAUGUUUUCAAUAUACUGAUGUUCUUUGUUUUGGAUAUAUGCUCAGCAGUGGGAUUGCUGGAUUAUAUACUAGU